UGGGGGAAUAUUGCACAAUGGGGGGAAACCCUGAUGCAGCGACGCCGCGUGAGUGAAGAAGUAUUUCGGUAUGUAAAGCUCUAUCAGCAGGGAAGAAGAUGACGGUACCUGACUAAGAAGCACCGGCUAAAUACGUGCCAGCAGCCGCGGUAAUACGUAUGGUGCAAGCGUUAUCCGGAUUUACUGGAUGUAAAGGGAGCGUAGGUGGCAAGGCAAGCCAGAAGUGAAGACCCGGGGCUCAACCGCGGGAUUGCUUUUGGAACUGUCAUGCUGGAGUGCAGGAGGGUGAGCGGAG
rnacentral:rRNA from 1 species